CCCAUAGGGAGGGAGAGAAAUCACUGUGGCUCCGCCGGGUCACCAUGGAAACACUGGGGGUCACCAUGGGGUCACCAGGUGUCACCAUGGGAUCACCAGGAGUCACCACGGGAUCACCAGGAGUCACCAUGGGGUCACCAGGAGUCACCAGGGGAUCACCAGGAGUCACCAUGGGAUCACCAGGAAUCACCAUGGGAUCACCAGGAUCUCACUAUGGGAUCACCAGGAGUCACCAUGGCAGCACUGGGAGUCACCAUGGCAGCACCAUAAGGUCACCAUGGGAUCACCAGGAUCUCAUUCACCAUGGGAUCACCAUCAUCUCACCAUGGGAUCACUAGGAUGUCACCAUGGGAUCACCAGGAGUCACCAUGGCAGCACUGGGAGUCACCAUGGGAUCACCGGGAAUCACCAUGGGAUCACCAGGAGUCACCAUGGGAUCACCAGGAGUCACUAUGGCAGCACCAGGAGUCACCAUGGGAUCACCAGGAUGUCCCCAUGGGAUCACCAGGAGUCACCAUGGCAGCACUGGGGGUCACCAUGGGAUCACCGGGAAUCACCAUGGGAUCACCAGGAUGUCACCAUGGGGUCACCAGGAGUCACCAUGGGGUCACCAGGAGUCACCAUGGGAUCACCAUCAUCUCACCAUGGGAUCACUAGGAUGUCACCAUGGGAUCACCAGGAGUCACCAUGGCAGCACUGGGAGUCACCAUGAGAUCACCUGAAUGUCCCCAUGGGAUCACCAGGAGUCAGCAUGGGAUCACCAGGACUCACAAUGGGAUCACUGGGAGUCACCAUGGGAUCACCAGGAG
rnacentral:lncRNA from 1 species